ACAUGCAUACAACAUAGUGUUAAUGCACCAGAUCCCAUUAGAACUUCGCAGUUAAGUGUGCUUAGGCUAGAGUAGUAUUGGGAUGGAUGACCGCCUAAGAGAUCCUAGUGUUUUACAUGCC
rnacentral:rRNA from 1 species